rnacentral:rRNA from 1 species
CCUACGGGGGGCACCAGUGGGGAAUAUUGGACAAUGGGCGAAAGCCUGAUCCAGCAAUGCCGCGUGUGUGAAGAAGGUCUUCGGAUUGUAAAGCACUUUUGACGGGGACGAUAAUGACGGUAACCGGAGAAGAAGCCCCGGCUAACUUCGUGCCAGCAGCCGCGGUAAUACGAAGGGGGCUAGCGUUGUUCGGAAUUACUGGGCGUAAAGCGCGCGUAGGCGGAUAGAUAAGUCAGAGGUGAAAUCCCGGGGCUCAACCCCGGAAUUGCCUUUGAUACUGUUUAUCUUGAGUGCAGAAGAGGUAAGUGGAAUUCCGAGUGUAGAGGUGAAAUUCGUAGAUAUUCGGAGGAACACCAGUGGCGAAGGCGGCUUACUGGUCUGCAACUGACGCUGAGGCGCGAAAGCGUGGGGAGCAAACAGGAUUAGAUACCCCAGUAGUC